UGCGUCGAAAAUCCUGUAUUUCAUAUUUGGGGUAUUCGCAAAACCUGUUGAAUUUAUUUAAAAAGUUAAGUGUGUAUUAAGUACAAUAUGCUUUAGAUUCGGCAUUCCUCUUGAUUUGUGUAUCUCAAAAAUUCAAAUAUUUGUAAGCCUAAAUCAUAUGACGCAGUUUUAAACUUGCUGGAACAUUAACUAAAAGCAAAGAACAUAAUUUUUAGUUUCAAUUAAAACAGAAACAUAAAGAAAUCAAAAUCCAGAAGGAUUAUAACGUGCAUAGUACACGUUAUUUUCAACAGUGAAAACCCCACGAAACUCCAAUCCUAUGGACUCCACCAAUGGGGUCUACCCCAUCAAAGGCCAAGUGAUAGCCAACAUCGAUGUUUUUUCCGAUCUUUGACUGGUAGACGAACCCGAUUCUGGAGUCCUCCCGCAACUUGGCCUUCACCAUGGUGCCAUUCUGGAAGUCGUACUGAACCCCAAUGGCAAACUGUUUCACAUUUUCCGAGCUGUAGAGGUUCGACUUAAUGGCAAAAGCCCAGGCAUCGCCGAUCCUUUGAAAGAACGAUCCUCGUAGGUCCUCGAAAUUCUCGCUACAAAUGAAUAUAUUAUCCUA